AAGUCGUAACAAGGUCUCCGUAGGUGAACCUGCGGAGGGAUCAUUACUGAGUUCGGGGGCAAUCCCAGUCCCGACCUCCAACCCUUUGUGAACACAUCUUGUUGCUUCGGGGGCGACCCUGCCGUUCGCGGCAUUCCCCCCGGAGGUAUCAAAACACUGCUUUAUUAACGUCGGAGUAAAAAGUUAAUUUAAUAAA
rnacentral:misc_RNA from 1 species